GCAUUCAUGUGAUUGGUCACGUGACAUGUAUAGUUCGUGCGCUGUAUCAGGACGUACCCAAGUAACUUGUGAUUUUUAUGCUAUCGGAAGCAGUAAGGUGAUUAGGUGACAGCGAUGAGUGAGGGUUAUUAUUUAGAGUUAAGCGAAAACCCUGUCCAAUUUGAAAAUGCAUCGAGUGUCAACAACGUAUUUUUCGAUGAGGCUAAUAAACAGGUUUUUGCUGUCCGAUCUGGUGGUGCCACUGGGGUUGUGGUCAAGGGCCCAGAAGACAAAAACUCAAUUGCUUUCAGAAUGGAUGACAAAGGUGAGGUAAAGUGCAUAAAGUUUUCAUUGGGGAACAAAAUCUUAGCUGUUCAACGAACACCAAAAACAGUGGAUUUCAUUAACUUCAUUCCUGAUUUUCCCCAUUUGGAAUUCUCCCAUGAAUGCAAGACCAAGAAUUCUAGUGUUCUGGGCUUCUGUUGGACCAGCUGGAAUGAAAUUGUUUUCAUCACUGAUCAAGGGAUAGAAUUUUACCAGGUGCUGCCUGAAAAGCGAACACUGAAGAUAUUGAAGAGCCAGAGCAUUAAUGUGAACUGGUAUAUAUACUGCCCAGAGACUGCAGUUCUUGUGCUGUCCACCACUGUACAAGGCAAUGUUCUGCAGCCCUUUGCUUUCAAAAAUGGGACAAUGUCAAAAAUGACAAAGUUUGAGAUUGAGUUGCCAGUUGCUCCAAAACCAGCCAAAAUUAUCCUUUCAGAACGCGACAUUGCAGUCGCCACCAUUUAUGGCCAGCUCUACGUAAUGCAUCUUAAACAUCACACAAGAUCUACCAACAACUCAGGAGCAGAAGUAGUUUUGUAUCACUUACUUAGAGAAGGAUCCUGUAAAAAGGCACACGUGCUGAAACUGAACACCUCAGGCAAGUUUGCUUUGAACGUUGUGGAUAAUCUUGUGGUAGUGCACCAUCAGAGCUCACGGACCUCUCUUAUCUUUGAUAUCAAGCUAAAAGAGCCAGACUGUCCUGUGAAUAUUCAUCAACCCGUACUUCCUGCACAGUCCAUCCACCCUUACAAGAUCUCUGUCACAGGGCCAGUGGCUGCUACCGGUCAGGCUUCUGUGCCAUGUGAGCUUUACUCAUCAACUUGGAGUGUCUUUCAACCAGAUAUCAUAAUCAGUGCAAGUGAGGGUUAUCUUUGGUACCUUCAUGUGAAGCUCCACCCAACAGUGAACCUCCUUCAAGACAAAGGAAAACUGAUGGACUUUCUGCUGCACAGAAGUGAUUGCAAAAUGGUCAUCCUGUCUGUAUGCUCACAGAUGCUUGUAGGUGGAGAGAAAGGAAACUUGCCUGUAGUGGCCACUGUAUUUGAUAAGCUAAACCAAGUGUAUAAGGAAUACCUGGAGGCAGAGCAAGCAUACACUUUGGCUGUGGAAUCGGGACCUAGUCGCUUCAGUAACUCCUAUAAAAGACCCAUUCGAUCACAAGCAGUCAUUGACCAGUCAGACAUGUACACACAUGUCUUCUCUGCAUUUACUGAGAAGAAGGAUGUAUCACAUAAGUUCAUCAUUGCUGUUCUCAUGGAAUACAUUCGCUCUCUCAACCAGUUCCAAAUCACAGUUCAGCACUACUUUUAUGAGCUGGUUAUCAAAACUCUGGUCCAGCAUAAUCUCUUCUACAUGCUUCACCAGUUCCUCCAGUAUCACGUGCUGAGUGACUCCAAACCAUUGGCCUGCCUGCUGUUGUCCUUGGAGAGCACAUACCCUCCUGCUCACCAGCUCUCUCUAGAUAUGCUUAAGAGGCUCUCCACAGCUAACGAUGAAAUUGUGGAGGUACUCCUGUCAAAACAGCAAGUACUUGGAGCUCUCCGCUUUGUCCGCAGUGUUGGUGGCCAUGACAAUGUCUCAGCACGCAAAUUUUUGGAUGCUGCACGACAAACUAAUGAUACAAUGCUGUUCUAUACAAUCUUCCGAUUCUUUGAGCAAAGAAACUUUAGGUUACGUGGCAAUCCUGCUUUUAAUCCAGGUGAACACUGUGAGGAGCAUGUCACUUACUUCAAAGAAGUCUUUGGAGAACAAACACUGAUGAAACUUCCAGUUGUCUGAAGAAAAGGAUGGAGAUUUACUAAGCAAGGGUCACGGGGAAACCUGGAGCAUCGGGCACAAGGCAGGGUACACCCUGGACAGGGUGGUAAUCCAUCAAAGGGCGCACAAUCACAUACACACACACACACCCAUUCACACACUACGGACAUUUUGGACAUGCCAAUCAGCCUACCAUGCACGUCUUUGGACUGGGGGAGGAAACCGGAGUACCCGGAGAAAACCCCCGCAGCACGGGGAGAACAUGCAAACUCUGCACACACACGGCCACGGUGGAAAUCGAACCACGACCCUGGAGGUGUGAGGCGAACGUGCUAACCACUACCGGUGACUAUAGCUACAUAAAUCUGAUAAAAUCACUGAGAAUAAAUAUUAUAUGUAGCAUAAUGAUUAGAUAACUAGUAACUAUAACUACAUGAAUCUGAUAAAAGUCACUGAGAAUAAAUAUUAUAUGUAGCAUAAUGAUUAGAUAACUAGUAACUAUAGCUACAUGAAUCUGAUAAAAGUCACUGAGAAUAAAUAUAUGUAGCAUAAUGAUUAGAUAACUAGUAACUAUAGCUACAUGAAUCUGAUAAAAGUCACUGAGAAUAAAUAUAUGUAGCAUAAUGAUUAGAUAACUAGUAACUAUAGCUACAUGAAUCUGAUAGUCACUGAGAAUAAAUAUUAUAUGUAGCAUAAUGAUUAGAUAACCGGUGACUAUACAUAAAUCUGUUUAAAUAAUAAGUUCAUAGCUAAUUGAUUAUUAUCUUUAGUACAUGUAUACGUUAAAACCGAAUAUGGUGUGUAGACAUAACGCUGAUACGUAUUUAGGUAUCGUAAAUGGUAAAUGAUUAACACUGAUUAAUACUGGUAGUGCACGUAUAUUUUAAAACUGAAUAUAGUGUGUUCCGUAAGGUACAUAGGUGAAUGAUUAAUAUCAGUGGUCCUUCACAUAGAUCAAUACAUUCCUGUGCAUUCCAUAAGUGCAUACAUGCAUAUGACCUUUCUAUAAAAAGCUAACACUCCUGAGAUAUUGGAAACCCAGCAAAAGAUCAAAAGAAAUAACAAGCUCUCCUAAAAACUUUCAGACACCCUGGAUUUCUCAGCAGGUAAGAAGAUGUAUUUUAAACAGUUAAAAUAGUUCAUUUUAAAUUGAAAUAGAAUGUUUAAGUAAUUAUCCAAUUUGAUAUUAACCUAUACAAUAAUUAACGUAUGAAAUAUUCAGAACAUUUCUGAUUACAACAGAGAUGAUCCUUCUACUUAACUGGUCAUUUAUGUAAUCUGGUACGGGACUAUAUCUAAAAUUGAAUCUUUAAUACACAUAUUACAGAGCAAGACCGAACUAAGCUCAUCUGAUUCUAGUGUCUAGGAUAACAUAUCAAAUGAAUGCAAGCCUACUAGAUAAUUUCAAAUUGUCUCUUAGAUUGGUGUAAUGAGCUAACUGUUAAAUUACUAAAAGUAUAUUUUAUUUGAUUUACUGUUUUUAGACAACAGCGUUGUGAUUAUUUCUGACAGCAAGUUUCCUGAGACAUCUACGCAAGGCCAUUUGAAUCUGAGAUCAACUACACAAGUUGAGGACUUCAUGACUAUCAGUGGUGAUGAUGAUGAUUCAAGCGCUUCAGCUGAGAUAUAAUGUAUAUUUUGCCUUCUAUUUUUCCCCAGCGCAAAAAGCUCUCUCACAUGUUCUGUGACUUAUAAAUAAAAGUGAUUUUGAAAAUGGUGGUGAUGUAGACGAACAAGCGGAAUUCAACUCGGAAGAGGCCGUUUAACUCGAUCACAAAUUAGAGGAGAUCAUCACAACGUGGAAAGAAUUCUUCCAAGUAAAGACUGCUGAAUAGGAGUAAGCGGUUGAAGAUGGAUGGAUGGAUGGA